rnacentral:tRNA from 1 species
GACUAGAAUGGCAAGGCGCUUGACUACGAUAAACGUGUAAUCAAGAGAUUCCAGGUUCGACCCCUGGCAUGGUCA